UCCCUGCUUUUGUCUGCAUCCAUCUGUGACAUAGACCCAAAACAACUCAUUACCCUACUUGCUUCCCUCUUUGGAAUGCUGUCAGAAAUAAUGUUGGAAAGUGACUGGGGCUCCUUGAAAGGGCCUUGAGAAAUACCAUCAGAAAGAGUCAGGUUAUCACUAUCAGUGCAUUCUAGCUUCUUAUUCUUCUUUCUUUUCCAUCUGUCUUUCAGACCCCAGUCUAAUAAGAAAAGCCAGCUUGGUUUCAUGGUGGCUUGUUGAAUCCAAUAAUCUUCUUCUGGGGAUGUUAGUACAAUGUAUCCAUGGCCCUGACUUUCCCUAGCCUAAGAAACACUGGAUUUCAAACAUUAACAAGUCAGGUUAACCUGUGGCACCUCUUCAGGAGUAAAUGACAGGAGGAUGAAUGACAGAAUCACCUAUCAGUAAUGGAAACACCAUAAUGGAGCUCUUCUAUUCUGCAAUGAAAACAUCAUAAAUGGACAAAUUGCAAAAGAAAUCCAACAUCCAAAGCACGACAAUGGACAUCCGGUUGGAUGCUACAGCUGUUGCUCAAAACUGAUCAAUGUUUAAUUUAAUGGAUGGUCAAGUGGCUAAUUUAAUGAGGUUGUAAAAAAAAAGAUAGCCUCCGGGAAAAAAAAAAAGAAAGGAGAGGAGGAAAAAAGGAAGGAGAGAAUUAGGAAGGUAAGGAAUCCUUAUCUGGUAACCAUUUUGUAAAAUUCCUUUAGAUAAAAAGUAAUAAAUUUGGAACCUCAAGGUAUAAUGAUUGUUUUAAUCUUACACAAUAAAAGGAAGUGAGUCAUUUUGAAGGCAUCAUUGCCAGCUGUUAUCUAAUGGAAUAGAUGCCUUUGGAACAGCAUUUUGAGGACAAGAAACAGGCAGAAAUCGAUGAGGAAAGGUUCAAACUUCUGACCCCAAACAAGUCUAUUAUGUUAUCAGGACAAUGAGAUGUUAAAUGGCAUUUAUGAUAUUAUGAAACAUUAAAUGACAUAAAGGACAUACUAUUAGUACUAGUCAGAGGCAAGACCUGAAUUUAGACUUUCUUUAUUCCAAGACCAGCCCUCUACUCACUAUGGCAAACUGACUUUCCAAAAGAAAACUAGUAUGUCCUUUAAAAAGAGAUGUUUCUUUGAUAUUCUAAUUGACAUUGUUAUAUAUUUACUGUGUGCUAUUUUGGUCAAAUAAGUGCAUUUUAUAUAUUGUUAUCUUUCUUCUCUAUGUCCCCUCAAUUUUUAAAACCCGUGUAAGCCUUCAAAACCUACUUCCAAACCACCCAAUUAAAAUUUGCCAUUUGAAAAAUGUUCAUUUCUGAAGUUCAACUAGGUGUUUUAAGAUGAAAAAAGUUACUCUCCUUAGCUUAAAGAAGAGUUGUCUUUAAAACUCCUAAAUAUAUAAUAAUGCUGAAAGAAAAGCAAUAAUUCUACAACAGAAAGGAAUUGAGGAGAUUUAGCUGUAUUCAAUCCAGCUUAAAAUAAAGUUACAGUCUUGUCCUUUCCUAUGGCUUAUGUCUCUGACAGCAAACAUAAUUAAAGCCAUAGAGAGAGAAAAUCUCCAGUUGCUCUGAACCAUUGCAAGUUGACAACAAGAAAAUAAUGCCAAGGCUCCCCACCCUCCCCUAAGCACUUAUUCUUUUCACAGUCCCUUCUCUUUUCUCUGUCACUUUUAAUAGUAGAUAUAAAUAUACAACUAACAUGAAUCACCAGGAAAGCAAGAGGGAGAGAACAAUUAAGGGAUUUCUUUCUUGGUUUUGUUUUGGUUUUGCUGUAUUAUACUUCAGUGUCACAUACCUAUAGCCAUCAGAAAGGUAUGAUUUUCUCCAAGGCCCUGAACAGAUCCAACACAGUAGUAUUGGCAUCUAUCCUACUAUCCCAGGAUGCUACAUGGUUUCGACCUCUUCUUUCUCCAAGUAAGAUGACUAUCAAUUUGGUUAUCCCAUGGGACCAGUGAGAUUCCCAGACUUGUUCCCUUCAAAGAUCAGUAAUUUCAGUAUGACCGCUUGCCUUAGAAUCCGGAAUAGUGUUAGGGGAAAGUGAUUCCAAGGAAAAGAAAUAAAGUUGAUUUUCAUUAA